rnacentral:rRNA from 1 species
GACGAACGCUGGCGGCGUGCUUAACACAUGCAAGUCGAACGAGGCCCAACCGGUGGCAACACCGGGGACGGCCUAGUGGCGAACGGGUGAGUAUCACGUGAGGAACCUGCCCCGAAGACCGGGACUAACCCUCCGAAAGGAGAGCUAAUACCGGAUGCCCUCACCGGACCGCAUGAUCUGGUGAGGAAAUGGAUUCCGCUUCGGGAGGGCCUCGCGGCCUAUCAGCUUGUUGGUGGGGUAACGGCCCACCAAGGCUUCGACGGGUAGCUGGUCUGAGAGGACGAUCAGCCACACUGGGACUGAGACACGGCCCAGACUCCUACGGGAGGCAGCAGGUGGGGAAUCUUGCCCAAUGGGCGAAANCCUGAGGCAGCAACGCCGCGUG